rnacentral:rRNA from 1 species
CACGUAGGGGACGAGCGUUGUCCGGAUUCAUUGGGCGUAAAGCGCGCGUAGGCGGCUCGGAAAGUCGGGCGUGAAAUGCCGGGGCUCAACCCCGGGACUGCGUCCGAUACUUCCGGGCUGGAGGUAGGUAGGGGAGAUCGGAAUUCCUGGUGUAGCGGUGAAAUGCGCAGAUAUCAGAAGGAACACCGGUGGCGAAGGCGGGUCUCUGGGCCGAUACUGACGCUGAGGAGCGAAAGCGUGGGGAGCGAACAGG